rnacentral:misc_RNA from 1 species
AAUCCAAGAAUUUCACCUCCAACAGUUAAAUACGAAUGCCCCCAACUAUCCCUAUUAAUCAUUACCUCAGCUCUAGAAACCAACAAAAUAGAACCAAGGUCCUAUCUCAUUAUUCCAUGCUAAUGUAUUCAAGGCAAUCGCCUGCUUGAAGCACUCUAAUUUCCUCAAAGUAAAAGUCCUGAAUACCGCACCACACAGUCAAGUGCAGUUACGUUCUCCAAGAAGAUGCCAAGGCCGAGCCAGAUACUCACCCAGAGGGCGGACCGGUCGUCCUCAGCAGAAAUCCAACUACGAGCUUUUUAACCGCAACAACUUUAAUAUACGCUAUUGGAGCUGGAAUUACCGCCU